CCUACGGGGGGCAGCAGUGGGGAAUAUUGGACAAUGGGGGCAACCCUGAUCCAGCCAUGCCGCGUGUGUGAAGAAGGCCCUCGGGUUGUAAAGCACUUUCAGUGAGGAAGAACGCCUGGUGGUUAAUACCCAUCAGGAAAGACAUCACUCACAGAAGAAGCACCGGCUAACUCCGUGCAAGCAGCCGCGGUAAUACGGAGGGUGCGAGCGUUAAUCGGAAUUACUGGGCGUAAAGCGCGCGUAGGUGGCUUGAUAAGCCGGUUGUGAAAGCCCCGGGCUCAACCUGGGAACGGCAUCCGGAACUGUCAAGCUAGAGUGCAGGAGAGGAAGGUAGAAUUCCCGGUGUAGCGGUGAAAUGCGUAGAGAUCGGGAGGAAUACCAGUGGCGAAGGCGGCCUUCUGGACUGACACUGACACUGAGGUGCGAAAGCGUGGGUAGCAAACAGGAUUAGAUACCCCGGUAGUC
rnacentral:rRNA from 1 species